GUUUGUGAUAACUGAAAUUUCUUCACUUUGACCUGAUGACUCUUGAAGAAACCUAGUGUCUGAAA
rnacentral:snoRNA from 1 species